rnacentral:rRNA from 1 species
CCCUCUGGCGGAGGAUAACCUCUCGAAAGGGAGACUAAUACUGCAUAAGACCACACUGACCUCGGGUAGAGUGGGAAAAGCUGGCCACUGCAUGCAAGCUAGCACCAGAGGAUGAGCCCGCGGCCCAUCAGUUAGUUGGUAGGGUAACGGCCUACCAAGGCAAAGACGGGUAGCUGGUCUGAGAGGAUGAUCAGCCACACUGGCACUGAAACACGGGCCAG